AACGUAGGGGGCGAGCGUUGUCCGGAAUUACUGGGCGUAAAGGGCGCGUAGGCGAUUCUAUAAGUAUUGUGUGAAAGCCCAGAGCUUAACUCUGGAAGUGCAUGAGAUACUGUAGGAUUUGAGUUCCGGAGAGGAAGAUGGAAUUCCCGGUGUAGCGGUGAAAUGCGUAGAUAUCAGGAAGAACACCCGUGGCUAAGGCGGCUCUCUAGUACGGUACUGACGCUGAGACGCGAAAGCGUGGGGAGCGAACAGG
rnacentral:rRNA from 1 species